UGUAACAUGGAGGCUUCAAAGCGUGCUGCAUAUGUGAAGAAGAUUCAUGAGAAGACCAGAGAAGAGAUAGAAAGGAAGUCCAAGUACUAUGCUGCUAAGGCAAACAAAAAUCGCAAGAAGGUGACUUUUGAGCCCGGAGAUCUGGUUUGGAUACAUUUGCGGAAAGAUCGGUUCCCAGAGAAGUGCAAAUCCAAGCUAAUGCCUUGUGGAGAUGGACCAUUCAAAGUCUUGGCCAAGAUCAAUGACAAUGCUUACAAGAUCGAGCUUCCUGAAGACUAUGCUGUGAGUCCAACAUUCAACGUUGCUGAUUUGUCUCCAUGCUUCGAUCAAGCGGGUCAAGAGUCGAGGACGACUCCUUUUGAAGAGGGGGAGGAUGAUGAGGACAUCCCAGGUUCACCUCGUUUAUCAUCUUCUCCUGAUGAUAAACCUCAGCCAUCAAGUGAAGCUUCUACAAAGAAGAUCUAUUUGGGUCCCAUGACAAGGAGCCGUGCCAAACAAAUAGCACAAGAGGUGAACGCACUCCUAGCUUAUCAUAAUUCAAAUGACAAUGAAAACUUUAUACUGCCUAAAUCUCGUGUGCUGAUUUUACUUAGGUAC
rnacentral:rRNA from 1 species